GACGAACGCUGGCGGCGUGCUUAACACAUGCAAGUCGAACGAAGAGCGAUGGAAGCUUGCUUCUAUCAAUCUUAGUGGCGAACGGGUGAGUAACGCGUAAUCAACCUGCCCUUCAGAGGGGGACAACAGUUGGAAACGACUGCUAAUACCGCAUACGAUCUGACCUCGGCAUCGAGGAUAGAUGAAAGGUGGCCUCUACAUGUAAGCUAUCACUGAAGGCGGGGAUUGCGUCUGAUUAGCUAGUUGGAGGGGUAACGGCCCACCAAGGCGAUGAUCAGUAGCCGGUCUGGGAGGAUGAACGGCCAGAUUGGGACUGAGACACGGCCCAGACUCCUACGGGAGGCAGCAGUGGGGAAUCUUCCGCAAUGGACGAAAGUCUGACGGAGCAACGCCGCGGGAGUGAUGACGGCCUUCGGGUUGUAAAGCUCUGUUAAUCGGGACGAAAGGCCUUUUUGCGAAUAGUGAGAAGGAUUGACGGUACCGGAAUAGAAAGCCACGGCUAACUACGUG
rnacentral:rRNA from 1 species